UAUUUCUUCUAUUAGAUAUUAAAAUAUUGAAUUUAUGCAUUUUUCAGUUUGAAUGAGUUUGAUUGUGUAAUCGAAAUGUUAAGUCCUGAAAGGGACUGUACCAGAUUUGAUCCUGUUGUUAGAGCUGUUGAGUUGUUUAAAGCACUGGACAUAAACAAGGAUGGAGUUGUAACUGAAGACGAGUUUAUCCAAGGAUGUAUGCAGGAUACAGUCUUUGUUGAUCUUUUAGACAAUUUUGAUGGACAAUCUAUCUGGGGGUCCCUACACGGUACACCUUAAUAGAUAUAUCUGGGGGUCCCUACACGGUACACCUUAAUAGAUAUAUCUGGGUUCCCUACAGGGUUCAACUUGAUAAAUAUGUCAAGGGGUCCCUACACGGUACACCUUAAUAGAUAUAUCUGGGGGUCCCUACACGGUACACCUUAAUAGAUAUAUUUGGGGGUCCCUACACGGUACACCCUAAUGGAUAUAUCUGGGGGUCCCUACGCGGUACACCUUAAUAGAUAUAUCUGGGGGUCCAUAAACUGUACACCUUAAUAGAUAAAUCUGGGGGUCCCUACACGGUACCCUUAAUAGAUAUAUCUGGGGGUCCCUACAAGGUUCACCUUGAUAAAUAUGUCUGGGUUCCCUACAGGGUUCAACUUGAUAAAUAUGUCAAGGGGUCCCUACAUGGUACACCUUGAUAAAUCUAUCUAGGGGUCCCUACAUAGUACACCUUGAUAAAUAUAUUCAUGGGGUCCUUACAGGGCACACCUUGAUAAAUAUACCUGGGGGUCCCUACAGGGUACACCUUAAUAAAUAUAUCUGGAGGUCCCUUAUAUCUGGGGGUCUCUUCAGGGUACACCUUGAAAAAUCUGGGGGUCCCUAACAAAGAACUGCAAAAUUUUAAAAAAUUGUUAUUUGUUUUUAAUUGUAUAGGAUCCAAAUAAAGUUAACAAUAUA